UACGUAGGGGGCAAGCGUUGUCCGGAUUCAUUGGGCGUAAAGAGCGUGUAGGCGGCCAGGUAGGUCGGUUGUGAAAACUGGAGGCUCAACCUUCAGAGGUCGACCGAAACCAUCUGGCUAGAGUCCGGGAGAGGAGAGUGGAAUUCCUAGUGUAGCGGUGAAAUGCGCAGAUAUCAGGAAGAACACCCGUGGCGAAAGCGGCUCUCUGGAACGGUACUGACGCUGAGACGCGAAAGCGUGGGGAGCGAACAGG
rnacentral:rRNA from 1 species